UACGUAGGGGGGCAAGCGUUGUCCGGAAUUAUUGGGCGUAAAGAGCUCGUAGGCGGCUUGUCGCGUCGACUGUGAAAACCCGAGGCUCAACUUCGGGCUUGCAGUCGAUACGGGCAGGCUAGAGUUCGGUAGGGGAGACUGGAAUUCCUGGUGUAGCGGUGAAAUGCGCAGAUAUCAGGAGGAACACCGAUGGCGAAGGCAGGUCUCUGGGCAUUAACUGACGCUGAGGAGCGAAAAGCAUGGGGGAGCGAACAGG
rnacentral:rRNA from 1 species